rnacentral:rRNA from 1 species
AGAGAGAGACAUGCGCGCAUAUCAAUAAGCGGAGGAAAAGAAACUAACAAGGAUUCCCUUAGUAACGGCGAGUGAAUGCGGGAAGAGCUCAAAUUUGAAAUCUUCAAGGUUUUACCUUGACGAAUUGUAGUUUAAAGAAGUGUUUUCUGUUGAAGUUUUGGUAAAAGUUCUUUGGAAUAGGACAUCAUAGAGGGUGAGAAUCCCGUAUUUGACCAUUAUUUUCAGCUGUGUGAUACACUUUCAAAGAGUCGGAUUGUUUGGGAAUGCAGUCCAAAAUGGGUGGUAAAUUUCAUCUAAAGCUAAAUAUCGGCGAGAGACCGAUAGCGAACAAGUACCGUGAGGGAAAGAUGAAAAGAACUUUGAAAAGAGAGUUAAACAGUACGUGAAAUUGUCAAAAGGGAAGCGUUUGACACCAGUGUUGUUUUCUCGAAAAUCAAUUAAAAAAGGCCGGAUUUUGUGUUGUAUUGACCUUAAAAGCUUUCUUCACUCUUUUCUUGUCCUUUUUAAUGCACUUUUCGUUUAACAAGUCAACAUCAGUUUCUUUUGUUGUAAAAGGGUCAUUGGAAGGUGGCUUUCUUUUCGGAGAAAGUGUUUAUAGCCUUUGAUCUCUGCAACCGGAGAGACUGAGGUCUGCAGCGUAGACUCUUCGGGGUUAGAUACAUUUGUGCUAAGCUAUAGCUUUGUAUAGACAACUUGUUGACUAUGAUUAGUCAUUGUAGCUUACUCGCUUAUGCUAUUUUACCUACGCUUAGGAUGUUGACAGCAGUAUAGACUGU